AUUCUAGUUUAGACUUAGUUUAGGGUGUUAGGAGUCGGUUCGGGAGUGAAGAUUAACUCCCAAAGCGACCUCCUUUGAGUUGCAGCCGAGGGCAGUGUUGAGGCAUAGCGCAAGACACCACCACGGGGUGGUGGCGCGUCAAAACUGGGGUCGAUGCAUGACGCAACCUUGAGUUGCGACAUGAGUUGCGACGUGCCACAGGGUCGCGGCGCGACUCUGGGUCGUAGACGGACAGUGUCCAGAACUCUGUUCCGGAACAGAAUUGUUUACUGUUCGAGGUGAAUCGGGGGUCUGAAGGGAUUGUUUCGGGUUGUUUUAAAGUUUGUUUCCAAGUGAGAAACCUUGCCUUGGUGGGAAUUUCAGGUUUGAUUGAAAGCUUAAGUUAAGGCAACGUUACACUAGAUCUGUGAACCGGGUCUCGACAUUGUUGUUUCUACACUGGCGGCAAAAAUAAUGGUUUCUCCUUUUCGUUCGGAUGAAGAGAGUUCUUGAGAACGACACAACAUCAUGCAAAAAUCCUCUCUCCUCCUCGUACUUCGAGUGCCAGACGUGCUCCUUCACGUACCGCUUUUCUCCUGCUUUGCAACCAUGUGGGAUGUUGUGCACUUCGCCUGCUUGUCUCACAUUGUGGAUGGGCAUCAGUCAGCUGAUUGCAAGGGUUGACUAUUCACCUUUUGGGUGGGUAUGCAUUUGAAUUGAUGCCUCCAACGAGAAAAUUCCACUGCAGGAUGAAAUCAGUACAUUAUAUCUUGAGCCAUCCAUAGUGAAGAUCGUCAGUAACCAUGUGGACAAUUGGAAGCAUACACGAAAUCAAUACAAAUCUUCAAUUCCACGGAUCAAUCACACUACACAAGACCGUUAUUCGCAUGACCGGAGGAGGAGGAGGAGGUGGAGUGGACAUGAGGACAGUGGUGGAGAGCGCCCUCACUCAAGCGUAGCCGGACUGGCGUCGUACACGAUGCGAGCCUUGCCGAUCCCCAGCGGCUGCACAUUCGGGCCGAAUUGCACGAGC